CCUCUAGGCUUGCAUUUACACACAAGCUCAAGCAACCUACCCGAACUCUCGGCGGGCCACCGAUUGAGUUCCUAUUUGGUCUUGCUACGAGUGGAGUUUACCUAGCUGCCAAAUGUUACCACUGGCACGGUGCGCUCUUACCGCACCCUUUCACCCUUACCAGCCAAAGCUGGCGGUCUGCUCUCUGUUGCACUAGUCGUAGGCUCGCGCCCCCCGGACGUUAUCCGGCACUCG
rnacentral:misc_RNA from 1 species